CGUCUGCAUCAGCCCAUUAUUUGCUACACCGUGUUUUUGGGAGUGCGUAUGCAUGUCAACUUUUAACAGUUUCGUAAAAAAAAAGAUGUUUCUUGGUGUGGAAACAAUUGGAAAGGAUGGAAAAUAUUCCAGAACAGCUAGGUGACAAGGAAGUUGAUGAAAUUCUCGUUGUGUGUGGGAAGCAACAGCGUAAACGAAAAAGGAAAUUGAAUCAUCUGACACCCGAAUACAAACAACGACUAAAAACAACGGCAGUGACGAAGCUUUUACAAUGGAUGUCAACAGGAAUUCCAGAAAGUCAUAUGAAACACUUAGUAUCACUAUCGUCAAGAUUGCCUCAGAUGUUUGGACUGAAAACUAAAGUAUCUCUAUCGGAAUCCUGUGUUGGAGAUAUGACAUCACAACAAUCUACUUGUCAUUUACCUACAAUAUUACAUAUGGAAAAGGAGUGUGCCGAAGAAAUAGAGGUCCAUAUAUUGAUCUCCACCAGAAUACUGCUGGUGCGGAAUCUAGCAACAGCCAAACCAUGUUGAAUCACCUUCAAGAUACUUUCACGACAGACAAACAGCAUGCAAACGAAGAUGUAGAUUUUCAUGCUUUUGAAGGCAUACCUGUUAUUAAUCUUGCUGGUACUUCCUCGGUCCCAAACAACAAACCCUUGUCGUUUAAAAGAAUUUUAUGCCAUUGGGCUGCUUUUACUAUGCAAAAGAAAAGUCAUUUGACGUACUUGCUGGAGUUGCUGAAGGAACAUAGGCCGCAAAUAGAUUUUGAUACCUUGCCAUCAUCCGGAAAAACAGUUGAUGUUAAUCGACGGCCGUGAUAUGCCGCAGCCAUAUACUACGACAUUACAGUUAGCUAGUACAAACAGUGUGAAUCGAAAGAAUCACCCACUGCCACCCGUCAUUAAUUUAGACAAUGAAGGAAAUGGAAGGUACACUCACUUCGGUCUUGAAACUGCGCUAGCCGGAGACUCACCAGGAGUAUAUUUCCGCAAUGCUGAUUUAUUGCAAUAUGCUGCUAUUUUCAAAACAAAUCCAAACGCCCUUCCACUAUCUAUCCA
rnacentral:misc_RNA from 1 species